rnacentral:rRNA from 1 species
UACCACCCUUUAAUGUUUGAUGUUCUAACGUGGACCCGUGAUCCGGGUUGCGGACAGUGUCUGGUGGGUAGUUUGACUGGGGCGGUCUCCUCCUAAAGAGUAACGGAGGAGCACGAAGGUUGGCUAAUCCUGGUCGGACAUCAGGAGGUUAGUGCAAUGGCAUAAGCCAGCUUGACUGCGAGCGUGACGGCGCGAGCAGGUGCGAAAGCAGGUCAUAGUGAUCCGGUGGUUCUGAAUGGAAGGGCCAUCGCUCAACGGAUAAAAGGUACUCCGGGGAUAACAGGCUGAUACCGCCCAAGAGUUCAUAUCGACGGCGGUGUUUGGCACCUCGAUGUCGGCUCAUCACAUCCUGGGGCUGAAGUAGGUCCCAAGGGUAUGGCUGUUCGCCAUUUAAAGUGGUACGCGAGCUGGGUUUAGAACGUCGUGAGACAGUUCGGUCCCUAUCUGCCGUGGGCGCUGGAGAACUGAGGGGGGCUGCUCCUAGUACGAGAGGACCGGAGUGGACGCAUCACUGGUGUUCGGGUUGUCAUGCCAAUGGCACUGCCCGGUAGCUAAAUGCGGAAGAGAUAAGUGCUGAAAGCAUCUAAGCACGAAACUUGCCCCGAGAUGAGUUCUCCCUGAGACUUUAGGUCUCCUGAAGGAACGUUGAAGACGACGACGUUGAUAGGCCGGGUGUGUAAGCGCAGCGAUGCGUUGAGCUAACCGGUACUAAUGAACCGUGAGGCUUAACCUUACA